AUAGUACUCCCUCCGUCCGGAAAUACUUGUCCGAGAAAUGAAUGUAUCUAGACGUAUUUUUGUUUUAGGUACAUUCAUUUUUAUCCAUUUCUCCGACAAGUAUUUCCAAACGGAGGGAGUAGUAG
rfam:Triticum aestivum genome assembly, contig: Triticum_aestivum_CS42_TGACv1_scaffold_050517_1BS